rnacentral:lncRNA from 1 species
AUGGCCCCCCCCGGUUUCGCACCCAAAAUGCAACCCAAAUUAGGAAAAAGACGCCGCCGAGCUCGCGCGCCCCUCCCCCCUCCGCGCCGGAAGUUUCGGCGGCCGCAGCCCAGCUCUCUCCCUCCGCGCGAGGAGCGGCGGCAGGGUUCACUUCCGGGGCCGAGCGGCCUCCUGCUGGCGGGCGGGGGCACAUCCGGGUUCUGCCGGCGUGGUUGCUGUGGCGGCGGCGCGGCUGCUGCAGGGAGCGAGCGGGCGGCGAGGCGCCGGCUGGGAGAGCGCGUGGUGGCCGCCCGGUAUCAUGAUGGGGAGCGCCAUGGGACAAGUUGGAAUGAAGAGGAGCAAAAUCAUGAAGCUGAGUCAAGCUGUCUUAACGAGAAUGGAGUGUUUUGGGGAUCAUACUGUCAGAGGAAAAUCGGCAAAGUGCAAAUGUGACUCCAGAAUCUGAGACAUACUACAUUUAUUUAAGUUGAAUCUCCAUCUUCUAUGAAUGGUGGUACUUACAGGUGUUCUCUGGAAGAAUUCACGUCUAAGCGUAUCUAUACUUUUUCCACAGUCUUAUGUAUUGUCUGUCAUUGUUUCUGGAAAAGCAAGUGAAAUCCACCAGCUGGUCUUCUGUAUCUAGGACUGCUUUAUCAAAGCACUUUGCAAACCUGUCUUUUUAACACAUGAAAUACGGACAUUUAGGGACAUGUAAAGCCAGUUGCCAUUCAAAUUAUUAAAUCAUCACCAAGAAUUGAGAAGAUAGCUGCUUGUCACUAGUUCAUAAAAGUACUUAACAAACCCUGCAAAAAUGAGAUUGAUAAAUUACUCGGAAGUCUUACAAAUGAUUCUCCAAAAUGAUUGUUUCCUUCCCAAAUUGUUUCGCUUUUGGAAUAACUUUGACUUGAAUGUGUGAACGUUGAGUGCUUUUUCGAACAGAGCUUUGAAUCAUGUUCUGCAUACAUGUACUAACGUAUGAAAUUGAACUCAAAAACUAGAAAAUAGUUUGCAAGGUAUAUCGGAGUCCCACAGUAAUAUAUAGUAGAAAAACAAAAUUCUGUAGGAGGUGGGAACCCUGACAUAUUUUUUGCACCCUCAAGCUUAUGGCUGGAUCUGUAAUACUUUUCUCAACCACUUUUUUGUGAAAGAAGUUUCUGUUGNUUUACUGGGAACUUGCAGUGAAGUUAAACUUUAAAUGGGUAAUUGUAUUAAAUGUAUUAAAACCAAAGCCAAUGUAUUGUUGUCUUAAAUACAAGCUGUCAAACGCACAGUGGAUCCACCUGCUGGACUUUGCCAUUGCUAUGCAGUCCUCUCAAUUUCUUCUCAGCCCGCAAGAAGGCACCUUGUGCUUGCCUGAACCUUCUGGCAGUGGACCACCUUACAGAUGGAUGCCCCACCCCCACCCCGGAGAAUCAGGCUGCGUGAUGUAAAUAAGAGCAUGCANUUCUGGAAC